CGGCAGCAUGAUCUAGCUUGCUAGAUUGAUGGCGAGUGGCGAACGGGUGAGUAAUACAUCGGAACGUGCCCUGUAGUGGGGGAUAACUAGUCGAAAGAUUAGCUAAUACCGCAUACGACCUGAGGGUGAAAGUGGGGGACCGCAAGGCCUCAUGCUAUAGGAGCGGCCGAUGUCUGAUUAGCUAGUUGGUGAGGUAAAGGCUCACCAAGGCGACGAUCAGUAGCUGGUCUGAGAGGACGAUCAGCCACACUGGGACUGAGACACGGCCCAGACUCCUACGGGAGGCAGCAGUGGGGAAUUUUGGACAAUGGGCGAAAGCCUGAUCCAGCAAUGCCGCGUGUGUGAAGAAGGCCUUCGGGUUGUAAAGCACUUUUGUCCGGAAAGAAAUGGCUCUGGUUAAUACCUGGGGUCGAUGACGGUACCGGAAGAAUAAGGACCGGCUAACUACGUGCCAGCAGCCGCGGUAAUACGUAGGGUCCAAGCGUUAAUCGGAAUUACUGGGCGUAAAGCGUGCGCAGGCGGUUGUGCAAGACCGAUGUGAAAUCCCCGAGCUUAACUUGGGAAUUGCAUUGGUGACUGCACGGCUAGAGUGUGUCAGAGGGGGGUAGAAUUCCACGUGUAGCAGUGAAAUGCGUAGAGAUGUGGAGGAAUACCGAUGGCGAAGGCAGCCCCCUGGGAUAACACUGACGCUCAUGCACGAAAGCGUGGGGAGCAAACAGGAUUAGAUACCCUGGUAGUCCACGCCCUAAACGAUGUCAACUAGUUGUUGGGGAUUCAUUUCCUUAGUAACGUAGCUAACGCGUGAAGUUGACCGCCUGGGGAGUACGGUCGCAAGAUUAAAACUCAAAGGAAUUGACGGGGACCCGCACAAGCGGUGGAUGAUGUGGAUUAAUUCGAUGCAACGCGAAAAACCUUACCUACCCUUGACAUGCCACUAACGAAGCAGAGAUGCAUUAGGUGCUCGAAAGAGAAAGUGGACACAGGUGCUGCAUGGCUGUCGUCAGCUCGUGU
rnacentral:rRNA from 1 species